UGACCGGGCCGCGACUGGCGAGGGUGGAUCACCACCGGGGAGCGGCCCGACGUUUGUGUGGCGCCGACCGCCUGGGUGCCUCCG
rnacentral:ncRNA from 2 species